GAAAAGAAACCAACAGGGAUUGCCUCAGUAGCGGCGAGUGAAGCGGCAAGAGCUCAGAUUUGAAAUCGCAGCGGCAACGCGGCGAGUUGUAGAUUGCAGGUGGGAGAGUUUGCGGGCGGCGGGCGUCGAAGUCCCUUGGAACAGGGCGCCACUGAGGGUGAGAGCCCCGUGCGAUGCCUGCCCAUGCUUUGAACUCCCCUCUGACGAGUCGAGUUGUUUGGGAAUGCAGCUCUAAGCGGGUGGUAAAUUCCAUCUAAGGCUAAAUACUGGCGAGAGACCGAUAGCGAACAAGUACUGUGAAGGAAAGAUGAAAAGCACUUUGAAAAGAGAGUGAAACAGCACGUGAAAUUGUUGAAAGGGAAGGGUAUUGGGCCCGACAUGGGAAUCGCGCACCGCUGCUCCUCGUGGGCGGCGCUUUGCGCUUUUCCUGGGCCAGCAUCGGUUUCCGCUGCAGGAGAAGGGGCUGUGGAAUGUGGCUGGCACGCUUGCGCGCCAGUGUUAUAGCCACGGGCCAGAUGCUGCGUG
rnacentral:rRNA from 1 species